ACAGGCAACAGCACAGCUGCAGGGAUCUUUGGAUCCUCCCAGAAGCCAGCAGCUGUCACCAGCACUGGAGCUGGGCCAAGUGAAAGACCCUGGCGAUUACUCUGUGACCCACACUCAGGGACCCAAGCCCACUCUGCUCGGCACAUGACACAGGUCAACUGACCUGUCCUCACCCCCACACGGCUUCAGAGGUGGGAGAGCUCAGGCCAAAUGGAGGAAAUCAUUGUCUAGCCCUUCGGAACGCAGUCCAGAAUAUAAACCCUCAGGGAGGGCUGCGCUGUGCACCGGGAGUGGAAUUACGUACCUGGAUUCUCAAACAGCCACCAGAGCCCCGUGCCCUUCCUGGUCCUGGUCUUAGGUCUGAACACCCAUAACCAGGUAGGCCGCCAGACCAGGAAAAUCUACACUCCUAAGGGCACUGCAGCCUCAGGGCACAAUAGCUGAAGCCCUUUCCCUGCCAGGAAAUGACUCCCAGUUCCUAAGGUCUCACAGACCCAGUGGCCUGUACCCUGGACUCCGGCCGGGGCUGUCCAGCCUUGACACCUGCAGGAGGACUGUAUGGUGUGCAGCGGAGCUCAGCCCCAAGCCCAGCUCAGCGGUUUGCUCUGGACACAGCCACCAGCCAGGUAGGCGACCUGAAGACAGCAGAACCACUGCCCACUUGAAGAGACCCCAAGCCCUGUGCACUGCAGUGCGUCUGUCUCUGUCCCUGGCCCUGUCACUCCCUCCCUCGCUCCCUCACCCCCUCAACCCCACUCUCCAGUUAAGCCCACGCUUCACAUUUCUACCUACUCAACCCUUUUGUGCCUCUUAGCAUCUUGUCCUGAGAAUUAUCCUGUACUGGGCAAGAGUGAAGCCCACUUUAAUUCCGCAACUUAUUUCUGCAAGGAGGUGGGCUUAGAAACCUUCUCAGACCUUGUCCGAGACCUGCGGACACCUGAAGGUUCGCGGGGAGCCAGCAAGGGCCUGUCCCAGCUCCCCACAUCUCCUGGCUUCCAGGCCAGCUCCCUGGCCCUGCCCCCGCGCUGCCACCCCGCGCUGCCUCCUCCUCCACCCUGCACCUCUCGGGAGCCGCGCACAGAGGAGGGCUGGGCCCCGGCAGGGGGACGGGUGGGGAGCCGGGCUUUCCGAGCUUUGGGCAGCUCCCUUUCAGCGGCACCUCCACGCAGCUCCGAACGUGGUCGCCAGCCGCGGGCAUCACCCAGAGAGGUUGUGAAACCGGGCGGCCCGACCUGAGCGCCCGCCUGGGGCCGUCAGAGCGGCAGGCGGGGGACCCACACCCCACUCCACGCAGAGCUCUCAAGGGCGCCCGCCACCCUCCGCUGCGGCACGGCGCGGACCCCAGGACUCGGCACGCAGAGGACGGGGCGCCCCCUGCAGCUCGUCUUAGGGACUUCCGGUUUCCAACCAGCGGGUGCCCGGGUCUGAAGUUCUCGUCAGCUUCUCGGGACCGAGUCAGAACCGCGAGGGAAAAGACACCUCCGCGGGCGUGGGCGCGGGAUCACGGAAGCGGCUCCACGCGCAGAACCAGGCGCUUCCGGGGCGCGGGCGAGGGUCCUCGGUGAGUCAGCGCCGCCCGCGCCCGGCGUUCGGUCCGUGCCCGCCGCUAUUCCGGGCGAGCAGCGGUGGAGGUGCGGGCGGAGGCGGCUCCGGAAGCGCGGCCACGCGAGGCUGCCGAGGUGACGCGGAGCUCCGGCUGCGUGGACCUGCGCGUGGCGCGCGAGGAGCCCGGGGAUCGCCUGGGGACAGCGACUGCGCGCGGGCUACCCAGGAAACCAGGCCUGGCGGGGCACCCACGGAACCCAGGGCGAACCUCCACGGCUUUCUGUGGGCGCCAGGACGGGGAUCCCGGGGCGCUGCCGCGGAGCCAGCCCCAGGGCCAGGGAGAACCGGCCUGCAGAGUGGCGGGGAUGGUGCUGGGCCAGCCGCCCUCGGGCCACCGCCCGGCACCUGUGCAAGUCACACCCGUGGAGUGUGUCUACGCCUGUGUAGUAUGUCCACACCCAAGAACGCAGGUGAUCUGGUGACGGGCCCACUGCAGGAGUCCUGCACUCGUGGUGAGCUUAGAGCAGAAUCUUGCCAUGGGCAGACGCAGAAAGCGCAAGUGAGAAGGGUCCAGAGCAAGGGGCUCAAACAGUAAAGCUCUCUAGGAGCUGCUGACUAGGCUGUGAGAGAUUCUGGUACCCCCCGCCCGCGCCCCAUCUCCUCAUCCUGCCUCCCCCACACCCGUAGGGGGACGAGUGUGAUCGCUUUGUCUCUGAGGGAUCAGAUCAGAAGUCAUGCGGCGGCCAUAGGGCAGGCUGCAUGCACUUUGGACAGCUUCUGACCUCCAUCCUGUGUCACCUUCCUCCACCACACCGACUUGGAGACGAGCCCUGGGAAGGGCAGCAUAGCCAAGCGAUCAGAAGAGAAAGACCAGCCUGGAGCCGCACCUGGGCACUCCUCCUUAUCAGUCCCGCUUGCGGUGCUUGUUGUUCCAUUCUUUGUGGGAAGAAGAUGUGAAUCCUCUGUCUGAAGAAUCACUGAAAAAAUACUUCUGCAAACAUUUUGGAUACAUCUCUUACAUCUGGAUACAGAGAUAUUUGGAUAAGAUGGAAUUAAGGAGAUUGAAGAUAUAAAUUAUGGUCAGGCGUGGUGGUGCACGCUUGUGAUCCCAGGACCGUGGAGGGCUGAGGCAGGGAGUUUUCAGCAAGCUCCAUCGGGCACCUUAGACCCUCCCUGUCUCAAAAUGAAAUAAGACAAAGUACAGCUCAGUGCAAGGACUCUGGGUGCAAUAUUCAAAGCCAUAUAUAAAUAGAUAUAUGAGCUAUGAAAAAUAUGUUUGUAACAAAACCCCCAAACCUUACCUCUUUACUCUGCUGGACCCUUUGAGCACUUUUCACAUUACAGGGAGGCCGCACAAAAACCACACACCUUCUUGCAUUACAGAAAUUAAGUCUGGGGAAUGUUUGUUGUACAAGGCGAAUGCGUUUGGGCCCAGAACCCUGCUCACGAUACUAUAGACAGACGUGUCAGUGCGGAUACAUAAAGGCACAGAAAAUAGUCCAUGGCUACAAACCCUGCCUAGGGAGGGCUGUGCAGGGCCCAGUGCAGGUGGGCUUUGGGGGUCCUGGGUGCAGAGGGGCCCUGUGCACCCUUCCUUGUGCGUAGUCCUUCUUCCAUCUCCCACUCAUCUUCAAGGGGGCAUUAGAAGAAAGGAUCAGCGGUGAUGUCAUUUAUAACCCAACUGCCAAAACCCACCGUUGCAUAACUGCAGUAUGAUCAAAAUACAUGGUUAUAGCUUAAAGGUUUUUACAUGGAUGAUAGUCAAAGACACAUUGCCAUGAAUCCCCCCUCACAGGCCCCUCACGUGGAGUACCUAUCCCAUCCUUCUGGCCACCGUCUGAAGCAGUUCUGGAGCUCUCUUUUGUCGUGGUCUUAAUGAGAUGUGGUCAAAACUAAGAUGAACAGUGCUGCUGACAGCAGUCAGGCUCAUAAAAACCUGCAUCUGAACCCUGUCUGUCCCAUUCCUGAGUGCAGCCAGCGGUCCUGGGACCAGAGAGAUCUGGAUCUGGAUGGGCUGAGCGGCUCAGCUCGAGGGUUGAGAUGUGUGAACUGAUGGUGUUUGGCGAGAUCACGAGCCAGUCUGUGUGCCCUCCACGGGAUGGUGUCCCACAGCACAGCGGCACACAGAAGAGCUGCCAGGUGGCUGUGAGGACAGACGAGCCCUCGUGUGCUGGUGAACCAACCAGGGGCUUCCAAAGCACCCAGGCUUCAGAAAGAGAGUAAGCAAGCUUAAAAGGAGCAAAGUUCAACUACUUGUUCCUCUCUGUGCAUCUGCACUGUCCUGAUUAGAAUCGUCACACUAGGUCCUUUUCUACUGGACACAUAGCUCAGUGGUGUGGGGCUUCCUAGCGAAGAAGAAGCAAAGCAAAACGAAAUGAAACGAGUCCGCUCGAUGGUUCUAAGCUGCUGUGGUGGUUGCUGUCUUCCCCAGUGGAGCAGAGCAGGUGCACCCCAGCCCUUUUCUCCUACUAAAAGCAUAGAGCAGCCACUAGGGGACCAGAGAAGGUUGCUGUGGCAGCAGGAUUGAAGGCUGGGAUGUGGCUUGUCCCCCAAGAGUUCACCUGCUGUUGGAUGCUUGGUCCCCAAUGCGGCAAUGCUGGGAAGUGGUGGAGUGUCGAAGACACAGGUCCUGCAGGGAGGUGACAAGACCCCCGGGCCUCGCCCUCAGCAGGGAUUGAUGCUGGAUUCAGAUCUCGUUCCAGCAAGAAUGGGUUGUUAGGACAAGGACGAGCCUGACCCUGAAUCUCCCCGGCUUCCUGUCCCGCCCUGCCACCCCUUGCUGUGUGUGGCACAUGCUCCCACCCUCUGUGGAGGACACCUGGACAAGCCCCUGCAUGAGGAGCAGGAGUCCGCCUUGCAGCUGAGCCGGACCCUGUUUCCACACACUCACGUGCACAGAGUUGGCUAGGACUUUUUCUGAUCUCCCAGCUGGCUCUAAGCAGUGCCGAUCAGUCCAGCCAUGGUGUAGUCUGAAGCAAGGUCACCAGGCAGCGAUGCUCCUCCCUGUCACUCCCAGAAGCAUGUGUGAGCCGGGCAGGAAGGAGAGCUGGGCUCCACGCUGUCAGCUGGGCCUGGCCCUCAAGACAGAGACUAUGACAGCUCAGGGUGUAAAAGCACCGCACAUCAGCACUGAAGCGCCCACUCCAGGACGGGAGACGCUGCCUUGAAUGGCGCGUACAGGCUGCUCCCUCUAUGCACCUAUCCCUGCACGAUGCACAGGUGCCUUCAGGCCUCCCGCCUGCCGCAGCGAGGUGCUCAUCCCCGAGCCACUCCCCUCUUGACACCCCAGGCUCGUCAUGAGUCCUGGCCUUCGCCAGGCAGCCAUUGCCCUAGCUGGACUCAGGGCCCCCGGGACCCCCCAACUCCAAACACACCCAGUGCCUUCUUUCUUACCUCACGACACUGCCAACGCUGCUGGCAGGAGAUUGGAAUUAACUCCCUAGGAUUCCACUCACCGUCCCAUGAGGCUACAGCAACCAGCCUCCCAGGCUCGGCAAGGACCCGGGCAAGCUCGCCCUCAAUACACUCCUACAAAGUGGUGAAGCUUGUUCUAAGCA